rnacentral:lncRNA from 1 species
GGAAGUGUGAUGUCAGGGAGCUGGGGAGACUGUUUCAGUCAGCUGCCCACGAGAGGAGAGGACAGCAGCUGCCUGGCUGGCAUUGAGGGCUGCACUAAAUAACUUUGGAGUAAGUGCAGAUGGAGUAGGACAUGAAAAGUACAACUUCUUGCUGAAUUGCACAGCUACCCUUGACCUGGCUGUCUUGCCCAACAGACUGUUACUGCUUCUGUUGUCAAGAGACGUCUGUGGCUGCAGAAGAGUCCAGGAUUUGUCUGUGAUAGAAUGACUACAAGUGACCCAGUUCCACAGCAUACACUUGGCCAAUGCCAAACAUGACUUUUGUUGGAACUUGGCUUUUGCGUGCAAAAUAAUUUUGUCUUUAGUUUUUGGUGGUGUUAUUGGGGGAGCAUCAAUAUUUUGCUUGUUAGACACAUU